rnacentral:lncRNA from 10 species
UCAUGCAGUCAGCUGCUUUCUCAGCCCAGCUGUGGGAAUGUAAACAAGUUUCUAACCUCAUUGAAUCUUAGGUUCCCUGUUUGGAAACAGAUGAGAUCCACAACAGCCAUUAUCUUAUUGGAUGGUUGUUGUAUGGCAGGGGCUGUACUGAAGAGUCACACACAUUACUUAGUCUUCCCAACAAUCCUGCAAGAUAUAGAACCUUGACAUGUUUCUCAGGCUGGUCUGAAACUCCUGGGGCUCAAGCGAUCCACCUGCCUCCACCUCUCAAAGUGCUGAGAUUACAGGU